GAUGAACGCUGGCGGCGUGCCUAAUACAUGCAAGUCGAGCGAACGGACGAGAAGCUUGCUUCUCUGAUGUUAGCGGCGGACGGGUGAGUAACACGUGGAUAACCUACCUCUAAGACUGGGAUAACUUCGGGAAACCGUAGCUAAUACCGGAUAAUAUUUUGAACCGCAUGGUUCAAAAGUGAAAGACGGUCUUGCUGUCACUUAUAGAUGGAUCCGCGCUGCAUUAGCUAGUUGGUAAGGUAACGGCUUACCAAGGCAACGAUGCAUAGCCGACCUGAGAGGAUGAUCGGCCACACUGGAACUGAGACACGGUCCAGACUCCUACGGGAGGCAGCAGUAGGGAAUAUUCCGCAAUGGGCGAAAGCCUGACGGAGCAACGCCGCGUGAGUGAUGAAGGUCUUCGGAUCGUAAAACUCUGUUAUUAGGGAAGAACAUAUGUGUAAGUAACUGUGCACAUCUUGACGGUACCUAAUCAGAAAGCCACGGCUAACUACGUG
rnacentral:rRNA from 1 species